rnacentral:rRNA from 1 species
UACGAAGGGGGCUAGCGUUGCUCGGAAUCACUGGGCGUAAAGCGCACGUAGGCGGAUUGCUAAGUCAGGGGUGAAAUCCUGGAGCUCAACUCCAGAACUGCCUUUGAUACUGGCGAUCUUGAGUCCGGGAGAGGUGAGUGGAACUGCGAGUGUAGAGGUGAAAUUCGUAGAUAUCAGGAGGAACACCUGUGGCGAAGGCGGCCACCUGGAAGACAACUGACGCUGAGACGCGAAAGCGUGGGGAGCAAACAGG